rnacentral:rRNA from 1 species
GUCCACGCUGUAAACGAUGAUCACUAGAUGUGGGUUCUGCUUAGCAGGAUCUGUGUCGAAGCUAACGCGUUAAGUGAUCCGCCUGGGAAAUACGGUCGCAAGAUUAAAACUCAAAGGAAUUGACGGGGGUCCGCACAAGCGGUGGAACAUGUGGUUUAAUUCGACACUACGCGAGGAACCUUACCUGGGCUUGACAUGUACUUGACCCGUGUAGAAAUACAUUUUCUUGUAGUAAUACAAGCGGGUACACAGGUGCUGCAUGGCUGUCGU